CGAGCUAUCCCAAGUAAUGCAUCGGACAAUAUACACUGCACUCUUCUUGCUCAUAGUGCUGUUCAUGGGGCCAUGGCAGGAUUCAGUGGUUUCACAGUCGGGCCUGUAAGCAGUAAACAUGCUUAUAUUCCAAUUGCUCGUGUGACAGAGAAUCAAAACAAAGUAAGCUUGACAGAUCGGAUGUGGGCUAGACUUCUUGCAAUCGACGAACCAGCCUAGUUUCUUGGAUGAUAGUGAGGUGCAAGAAAACGUUGAUGAGGAGGAUGUUGAUUUGAUAAAAAACAAAAUGAUAGCUACUUCUUCUUAAAUUUAUGGAGUGGGGCUCUCAGUUCGUUCAAGUGGACAGCACAACGUAACAUUGGAAUUAUGCCAACAGGUCCAGACGUAUCUAAGUUGGCUAGAGCUGGCCAUUCUCAUCCAAGUUCCCUUCGAAUCUUUCUUCCUGUAUUUUAAAUUAGAUUAUAAUAUCGCUUGAAUAGAAAGAAAAAAAAAAUCUUUCUAUUUGUGGUGUUGGGUUAUUGUUUAGCAUCAUUUUUGGACACCAAUCCGUUUCAAACGUUUGGGAUAAGGUGACGGCAACAACAACAAAGUCGAUAAAUAAAAUAUCUCUUGUCUUGCUUAUCUUGAAGUUUCAACUUGCGAGGUUCCAUCAUGGACCCCAAAUUAAACUUUAAGUUCCACCCAAGUUGCAUAAAUUGGUUGUCGU